CACGUAGGGCGCAAGCGUUGUCCGGAAUUAUUGGGCGUAAAGAGCUCGUAGGCGGUCUGUUACGUCUGCUGUGAAAACCCAGGGCUUAACCCUGGGCUUGCAGUGGAUACGGGCAGACUAGAGGCAGGUAGGGGAGAAUGGAAUUCCCGGUGUAGCGGUGAAAUGCGCAGAUAUCAGGAGGAACACCGAUUGCGAAGGCAGCUCGCUGGAACGUUACUGACGCUGAGACGCGAAAGCGUGGGGAGCAAACAGG
rnacentral:rRNA from 1 species